CCUGGCUCAGAUUGAACGCUGGCGGCAGGCCUAACACAUGCAAGUCGAGCGGUAGCACAGAGAGCUUGCUCUCGGGUGACGAGCGGCGGACGGGUGAGUAAUGUCUGGGAAACUGCCUGAUGGAGGGGGAUAACUACUGGAAACGGUAGCUAAUACCGCAUAACGUCGCAAGACCAAAGUGGGGGACCUUCGGGCCUCAUGCCAUCAGAUGUGCCCAGAUGGGAUUAGCUAGUAGGUGGGGUAACGGCUCACCUAGGCGACGAUCCCUAGCUGGUCUGAGAGGAUGACCAGCCACACUGGAACUGAGACACGGUCCAGACUCCUACGGGAGGCAGCAGUGGGGAAUAUUGCACAAUGGGCGCAAGCCUGAUGCAGCCAUGCCGCGUGUGUGAAGAAGGCCUUCGGGUUGUAAAGCACUUUCAGCGGGGAGGAAGGCGAUAAGGUUAAUAACCUUGUCGAUUGACGUUACCCGCAGAAGAAGCACCGGCUAACUCCGUGCCAGCAGCCGCGGUAAUACGGAGGGUGCAAGCGUUAAUCGGAAUUACUGGGCGUAAAGCGCACGCAGGCGGUCUGUCAAGUCGGAUGUGAAAUCCCCGGGCUCAACCUGGGAACUGCAUUCGAAACUGGCAGGCUAGAGUCUUGUAGAGGGGGGUAGAAUUCCAGGUGUAGCGGUGAAAUGCGUAGAGAUCUGGAGGAAUACCGGUGGCGAAGGCGGCCCCCUGGACAAAGACUGACGCUCAGGUGCGAAAGCGUGGGGAGCAAACAGGAUUAGAUACCCUGGUAGUCCACGCCGUAAACGAUGUCGAUUUGGAGGUUGUGCCCUUGAGGCGUGGCUUCCGGAGCUAACGCGUUAAAUCGACCGCCUGGGGAGUACGGCCGCAAGGUUAAAACUCAAAUGAAUUGACGGGGGCCCGCACAAGCGGUGGAGCAUGUGGUUUAAUUCGAUGCAACGCGAAGAACCUUACCUGGUCUUGACAUCCACAGAACUUAGCAGAGAUGCUUUGGUGCCUUCGGGAACUGUGAGACAGGUGCUGCAUGGCUGUCGUCAGCUCGUGUUGUGAAAUGUUGGGUUAAGUCCCGCAACGAGCGCAACCCUUAUCCUUUGUUGCCAGCGGUUAGGCCGGGAACUCAAAGGAGACUGCCAGUGAUAAACUGGAGGAGGGUGGGGAUGACGUCAAGUCAUCAUGGCCCUUACGACCAGGGCUACACACGUGCUACAAUGGCAUAUACAAAGAGAAGCGACCUCGCGAGAGCAAGCGGACCUCAUAAAGUAUGUCGUAGUCCGGAUUGGAGUCUGCAACUCGACUCCAUGAAGUCGGAAUCGCUAGUAAUCGUAGAUCAGAAUGCUACGGUGAAUACGUUCCCGGGCCUUGUACACACCGCCCGUCACACCAUGGGAGUGGGUUGCAAAAGAAGUAGGUAGCUUAACCUUCGGGAGGGCGCUUACCACUUUGUGAUUCAUGACUGGGGUGAAGUCGUAACAAGGUAACCGUAGGGGAACCUGCGGCUGGAUCACCUCCUUA
rnacentral:rRNA from 1 species